ensembl:lncRNA
GUAAAUAAAAUGAUUGGAAAUAGAAAAGUUACCCCCCAAACAGCACCAUGCUAUAUUUCAGAUGUUUCUAAGUUCCUACUUUACACUAGCAACAUGAUCCACAUAAGAAGCACAUGGGCUUUGAAGGCAGAGCGACAAACCUGGGUUUCUACCCUGAUUCAGUCACUUCUGUGCUCUGUAACCAGAGGUGUAGCCUCUCCAUUCCUUUGGGCCCAGGGCCUGACUGCCAUGAAAAACUAUUCAAGAGCACAUGCUAGUGGCCGAAGGUCAGAAUGGCACCUUUACAGUCCCAUUGCCAACCCACUGAGAGCACUCCUGUCUCAGAGGAUGGAUGCCUGAGCCAAUGGGCGACAAUGAGGACUGAGCAUCCCUUUGUUAAUUCAGCAUUCUUGUGGCGGAUCAUUUUCACUGUUAAUGACAUACGAGUUGAGUCCCAGAAGUGUUCUAUUAAAAGAGGACCCCACUGCCAUAGAAAACCCUGGAUCUAUGAAGACAUCAAAGACAAAGACCUAAUUUUUCUCUCAAAAAGUGAAACUUGAUUUCCAUUCAAUAUUGAAUUUGAUGUUUAAAAAUUCUGAAGUAUGUCAGAGCUGAAGUUUAUCUAUGCUAUUUUGUACUGGAUACAUCUACUAGUGUGACAAAUUAGGUGUUUUCCCAGAGUAGCAGUUGUCUGAAUUCAUCUGCAUGAAGGAUACAAACAGGUAUGUUUUCAGAAUAUUGUCAGAGUGGUCUUAGCUUUUCAAAGCAGUUUCUCCUAUACCAUUUUGUUAGGGGAAGCAUAUUGACUGAAACUGCCCACCCUGGCCAGGCACCAUAGUAACUAUUUGCAUGAGUUAUUUUACAAUAGGAGGUCCUGGUAAGGAACACAGAACUAAUAAGCCACCACCAACCAGAAGAGUUCGGGAAAGGUCAAAAGGAGACACCACAUGUCCGACCACCUCCCAGAAUCCUCCUCUCUGGCAUCCAUCUUGGCUGAACAAGGCGUGCACCACCAGGAAGGACUCUGAGUCGGAAUGAUUAGCUAAAGACAACCCGGAAACUAAUCCCAUCACCAUAAAACCUGCAAGCUGUGUGGCAGAGCUGUUCUCCUGGGUUCCCUUACCCUACUGCUCUCCACCCGGGUGCCCUUUCCCAAUAAAAUCUCUUGCUUUGUCA